CGAAGAACCUUACCUGGUCUUGACAUCCACAGAACUUUCCAGAGAUGGAUUGGUGCCUUCNGGAACUGUGAGACAGNUGCUGCAUGGCUGUCGUCAGNUCGUGUUGUGAAAUGUUGGGUUAAGUCCCGCAACGAGCGCAACCCUUAUCCUUUGUUGCCAGCGGUUAGGCCGGGAACUCAAAGGAGACUGCCAGUGAUAAACUGGAGGAAGGUGGGGAUGACGUCAAGUCAUCAUGGCCCUUACGACCAGGGCUACCCACGUGCUACAAUGGCAUAUACAAAGAGAAGCGACCUCGCGAGAGCCAGCGGACCUCAUAAAGUAUGUCGUAGUCCGGAUUGGAGUCUGCAACUCGACUCCAUGAAGUCGGAAUCGCUAGUAAUCGUAGAUCAGAAUGCUACGG
rnacentral:rRNA from 1 species